rnacentral:rRNA from 1 species
GAUGAACGCUGACAGAAUGCUUAACACAUGCAAGUCAACUGUGGCGGACGGGUGAGUAACGCGUAAAGAACUUGCAUCACGGCUAGGGACAACAUUUGGAAACGAAUGCUAAUACCUGAUACUGUGAGAGAGCUUUGCGUCCCAUUAGCUAGUUGGAGAGGUAACGGCUCACCAAGGCGAUGAUGGGUAGCCGGCCUGAGAGGGUGAUCGGCCACAAGGGGCCUGAGACACGGCCCUUACUCAUACGGGAGGCAGCAGGGGGGAAUAUGGGACGAUGGACCAAAGUCUGAUCAAGCAAUUCGGUGUGUACGAUGAAGUUUUCGGUAUGUAAAGUGCUUUAAGUUGGGAAGCGGUACCUACAGAAGAAGUGACGGCUAAAUACGUGCCAGCAGCCGCGGUAAUAC